rnacentral:misc_RNA from 1 species
GUAGGAAAAUCCUUCUCUAAUGAAGCUUUGAAUACGCACGACUAUAAACAAUGCUAGCAUAGCCCCUAAUUUAAUCACAAGGGCGACGUCACAUAAUUGCUGGGAUCCUUUUCACAAGAAGGGUACCAGCAGCCAAGUUUAACCUUGGUUCACAGAUUAGAUGGUGACGGUCAAACAAUCCAUAUCAAAUAUCGUGUUUUGAUUAAGAUAUAAUCGGUUUACUGUUUUAUCACAGCAAGUGAAGCGUUCC